rnacentral:rRNA from 1 species
CCUACGGGCGGCAGCAGUGGGGAAUAUUGCACAAUGGGCGCAAGCCUGAUGCAGCCAUGCCGCGUGUAUGAAGAAGGCCUUCGGGUUGUAAAGUACUUUCAGCGGGGAGGAAGGGAGUAAAGUUAAUACCUUUGCUCAUUGACGUUACCCGCAGAAGAAGCACCGGCUAACUCCGUGCCAGCAGCCGCGGUAAUAUGGAGGGUGCAAGCGUUAAUCGGAAUUACUGGGCGUAAAGCGCACGCAGGCGGUUUGUUAAGUCAGAGGGGAAAUCCCCGGGCUCAACCUGGGAACUGCAUCUGAUACUGGCAAGCUUGAGUCUCGUAGAGGGGGGUAGAAUUCCAGGUGUAGCGGUGAAAUGCGUAGAGAUCUGGAGGAAUACCGAUUGCGAAGGCAGCAUACCGGUGCACAACUGACGCUCAGGCACGAAAGCGUGGGUAUCGAACAGGAUUAGAUACCCUUGUAGUC